rnacentral:lncRNA from 1 species
AUUGUUAAUUAGUUGUAACAAGAUUUAUGUGUUCCACAAAUUGUAUAUAUGUGCUUCUUCUCAAAAUUUAAACAAACUUGAAAUAUUCUUUCUUAAUUUUAUAUAACAGUAGUAAAAUAUUUAUAGGUACAACAGAGACAGGACCUCACAAAUCUGAGACAAUAGAUUUCACGAGAUGACAAAAAAAAAUAAUAUUCUUGGUGAGAAAUUUAACAGCAGGAGCUCCAAAGACUUCAUAGACACUCAACAGACUUGUCAGUACUUGAGAGAUGUUAUGAGACUGCCAUGGGUGAUUGAGAAAUUCUUGUCUGAACUACAUCAACAUGCCAAUGGUGCAAUGAAUGAAGUGUGCCAGAGAACAGGGACCAUAAAUCUGGAAAAAAUAGCAUAUUUAGGAAAGUCUUACUAGUCUUAGGUGUGAUAUUCCAAACAUGGUUCAGGAAAAGAACUAUCCAUUUGAGCUGAAUGGCUAUAUGUCACUGAAUUAUAAAAUAUAAUAAAAAAUAUAAUAUAAUGCUGGUUGUUUUAGGUGCACAAGGUUUGUAUUAAUUCAUUAUAUGAAAAUAGAUAACUGAAACAUAUUUAUGCUUUUAUAGCUAGGCAGAGAUUUGGCACUAUUGUGGCUCAAGGUCUUGUACAUUUAAUCAGUAGAAAAUUGAUGAGAAAAUCUUGCUGUACUAAUACUGAGGCUCAAUCAAACACUGAAGCACUGAGUAAAAUGUAAUAGAAGGGUGCUAAAAUUAUUCUCACCAACUGAAUUUUCUCCAGAAUUAGAAAUUUUUAAAACCUAUAAUCCAUGGUUCUCAAUACUCAAAUUUAUUCAGUGGAGCAUUUACUAGAAAGAUUGACUUACUUUACUUACUUGUAAUCUUUAUAUUGAUGCACAAUCAUAAUUUAUUGUGUACCUAGGAAUGAUUCUUGAUGACCAUUUUUUGUGUGUUUUCCAAAGCGGGGGCUAAAGUUAUGUGAGGUAUGAUAUAGGUAGUUAAAAUUCAGAAAUUAUUGAGUCUACCAGAAUAAACCAAGAAAAGGCUAGUGAGGAGAGUGAUAGAGAAAAUAAAGCUAGAAAAAUGUAUGCUUUCUUCAUGUUAUGUAUAAAUACUUCUCAAAUGUUCACUUGACCCUUAAACUACACAUGCUUGAGAAAGAUAAGAUCUAGCAAAGGCUUAAUGAUUAAGCUGAGGUUUGAACUUAAAUUCACCACAGCAAGAAAGACAGCACUUUCUCCAGAGUGUAAUCAAUUACUGGCUCAAAUAAAGAAUCAGAUUUUUCACAGGAAUAUACCAAAGUACAGAAUCUUCAGAAGAUAAUGCACAUGAUAGCCAAGUUAUAAUCCAAAAUAAUUAGACAUUAGGGAGAAAUGUAACAGAAUUUUGAAAGAAAAGGCAACAAAGGUCAUCAGACAAGAACUUCAAAGAAUGUAUUAUAAUUAUUAUAGCUAUCUUUAAUAAAAUAAAGGAAAUAUAUUCAAGAUAAAAUAUGCAGAACUUCACAUAAAAUUAUCAAAAGAUAAAAAGAAAAUGCAAAAUAUGCAAAAAAAGAAAUGCAAAAUAAAAAUUUACCUCAGAUAGUACAAUGAUGUGGGAAUAACAGAUAAAAGUAUUGAGCCUGAAAAUAAGACAACAGAAUUUAUAAAGAAGAAAAAUUUUAAAAAUUAGUGAGUAGAGCCUUAGAAACCUACAAAGCAAUAUUAAAAUUUUAAUCCCUGAAUAAAUAAUUACUGUCUAGAAUAAAUCCCUCUUAUUAUUCUCCCAUCACAUCACCAUAAUCCUUUUGUCUAUGUAGUACAUGUAUUCUUAGGGCCCUUUUGGUCCUUAUCUGAAACUCUGCCUGACAAUUAUUUAUCCUUGAACUCCAACAUACCUUGUUUCUUCUCCUCUUUCAGAUCUCCUCUCAAAUGUGAUUCUAUUUAAAAUUAGAUUGCACUAGCCUCUCUUCUUUCCUGUUUCCUUCUACUCUCUCUGCUUUAAUUUUCUCCAUUGCACUUAAAAUCUGAACUACUAUAGAUGCUUCUUCACUUUUUUAGUAGAAUAUAGUAUGAUGCCUGGAACUUAUAUGUAUUUUAUUGCCUAUGACAUUCUCAGAGAGUAACCUCAACUAUUUGUUAAACUUAUGAAUGAAUGAAUUAAUUAAUACAAUAUUUGAUGCCUAUUGUUUAUAGCUACAGAUACUCUAAUCUUCCUUCAGCAGGGGAUAUUUUUGGAGCCUGGCUAGAGAAUUGAGGAAAUCGAGUAUUGCAAACCUCCACAGAACUGUUUCUGCUCUGACCAGUUGUCUACUCUCUCCAGCUUACCAAGAAGUUUGUUUAGAAUCUUAACUCCAGCAAACUCUCUUCAUCGGCAUUAAGCAUCACCUUUGCUAUUCUUCUGAUGAAUUUGGGACGCAUUGAAUGUGCAUAACAUGCACAGUUUUUCUUAGUUAACUGCAGAAAAGGUGAAAAUAAAUCUGAGUUCCAAAAAGUAAUGAUCUAUUUUUGACUUUUCCUAAAGUAACCUACAAAUAAGACAUAAUUUUUUUCUUAGUUCAUUCAUUAAUUUAUUCAUUCAGUUUUGGUACUCAGAAUCAAACAGGGGGCUGAGCUGCUCUACCAACUGAGUGGCAUCCCAAGUCCUAUAUGCUUAGUGAGACACACGGUCUCACUACUCAAACUUGCAAAGCCCUACUUCAGUCUCCCUCAGUUCUGGGAUUAUAAGCAUGCACCACUGUGCCUGCCUCAGACAUUUAAAUGUUAAAAUAUAUGACAUGAUAAAAUUACCCGGAAUACUAAGAGGUAUACAAAUUUUCUUUUUUGCUCUCUCACUUUUUUCUUCACUUUCCAAUUUACUGUGAGAUGAUUUGUUAGGUAUCUCUCUGUAGGUAAACUGUUGUGCAUGCUAAUAAUCACCAUCUUCUCUCUCCUUUCAAAAGAAGGCUUUGACAUGAAAUGAUAGUAUUUGAUGAUGAACGUGUCCUUAGGACCAAGUAAAUAUUACAUUAAUUACUCCCUAGGCUAUUACUAAUAGGAAAUAAUCGGUUAGGACAUGGUGGAUUCAAACAGUGGAAACACAAUUUAUUUAAGGAUGGCAUUUUGUCACAAUGAGCUAGUACCAUUGUUUCAUAAAAAUUGAUGUUUACCUUUUCAAUAAAAAUUUUUUCAAGAAAAAUAAUUUAAGUAGGUUAUUAUUUUAAUGUGUUAAUGGUAAAGGAUUUGUAGGGCUAUUUCUUUCUCUGGUGGGAAAAUUGAAUGAGAUAGUUCUAUUGAAAGAUGUUUUGUUUUUUUGGCUCACAAAAGCCCACUUUUUCUAGCCCAUUUCCAUUUGCUUUCAACCUCUAUUAUUAAAAUUCAGCACAAAAAAGCACAAUUUUGUGCCAUUUCCCGAGACAGUAGCCCAGACUCGAGCCACUGCACAAAUUUUGGACAGAUCUCACAAAAAGCAAUAGUUUCAUUAGAGAAAGAAUGAAGUUGCAGAGCAGAGAGUUUGAGGAAAGGGUUAACAGAUAUAUUCUUCCAGGCAUGGUGGUACAUGUGAGAGGCUGAGGCAGGAUUGCAACUUCAAGCUCAGCUUGGGAAAUUUAGAAACUUAGUGUGAUCCUAUCUCAAAAAAAGAAAUAUCCCAAACUGAAAUCCAGAGAGCCUGGAAGUGAGGGAAAAUUCUGUUCAAAACUCAGUUUGGACACUAUAGAAAGAUUAUUUUUAGCUAAAUAUGUAACUUGUAACUUUCUACAUUGAAAUUCUCUUCUAAUGUUGCUCUAAUUCUUCAGCAGAGAUCUGUGUAUAUUUUAAGAGCAAUGAAGGUAUAUUUUGACAAAAUGUUGGAUGAAUAAGUAUUAAACAUCUAUUUUCAGCUGAAGCCAAGACAGAACUAAUGUAUCACUAUAACAGAAUAAACAUUUGAAAUCUAAGCAAUAUAUCUGAACACUGUAGAAUGCUAUUACAAUUGUAUUCUUUUAAAAUUCUGUGGUGACAUUUUAAAAUAUUGAUGUUAAUAGGAAAAAGAAAAAAUUGCAUUUCAGUAUUAUCACUUGCUAACUCCUCCUGCAGAUACUGUACUGAAUACUUAUACUACAAAUUAGACACACACUUCCCUCUGAGGUCUUUGGAAGUAAAAGCUAAGAUUCUACAGAGACAACCUCUAUAGCAUCCUUAAUAAUGGUUAUGUUACCAUCAAGUUCUUAUGCUUUCUUUCUGCACUAGUGCAACUGACCAAGAAAGAAAUCAAAAUACAUUCAUAUCCUUCAUAACAGUAAUGAUUUAGUCAAAAAUGGUUUCAAAUCUUACACUGGAAGAGGUUACUUUCUGAGUUUCAUCAGAAAUGGAAUUGUUGUUCACAAUGUUUUAUAUUUUCUCAUUUUGCGUGUACUUGCUGUUUCACAUGAUCACUUGAGGAAACUUUGUUCUUAAACUUCAGAUCAAAAAAUGAAACUAUGGAGGUAUAUGAAUAUCUUAUUGCAUCUGAGGUUUACAUACAUGAAUACGUAUUUUAACAUUUUGUGGGGAAGCAAUAAAGUUUGAUGAGAAAAAUACCUGCAGUCUCAAUACUGGUGCAUUGGUCAUACUUUGGCAAGUUUCAGUAAAUGAACUAUAUGCUCUCUAAAGCAAUCAAUGCUUGUUAGUUAUUGAUAUUGUUAUACCUUUUGGAAUACUUACAUUGGUGUUUCUAUUGCAAAAUAUCCAGAAAAGGUUUUCAUGAAUUUUGAGAUAUAGUAUAAAUACAUGGUGAAGAG